AAAAAAAUAAAAAAAAAAUCAUGUCUACAGAUCUACAAUUUCCACAAGAUCUCUUUGAAAUGAAUUCACCAAAUAUCAAUUCUUCUCAAAGAUGUAUCAACAGCAAUAUUAAUAUUAUUAUCAGUAAUAAAGAUGAUUGCAAAACCCCAAAAUCUUCACCUUUUUUAAUCCCAAAAAUCCUCAAAUGCCCAGCUGCACCUAAAAAACCCAGAAGGGUAAUUUCGUCCUGUAAGAGAAAAUUACAAUUUGUUGAAAUUGUUGCUAGUAAAGAAGUUGAAUCAUUUUUCAAAAUCCUCGAUGAUGAUGUCGUUGCUUCGUCUUCGAAAAAGAUAUGAGGUGCUCGAAAAUAAUCAAAUCAAAUCGAUUCAUUCGAGUGUACGAGAAUGAUUAAAGUUAGUUCUAUUUGAAGAUCGACGAUAAGUCGUGGAAGGUCACGUGCUUUAAGAUUUGAUGUUUUCACCAGAAAUCUGAUAAAAAUUAUACGAUCGAUCUUCAUAGAGUACUUAAUUUGUAAGAUACAUAAGUCUUAUUUUUAUUUAAUAAUAUAUAUAUUAUAUAGUUUUUAUACAAUUGAGAUCUGAAUUCUGAAUUAUCUAUGUAGAUUUG
rnacentral:misc_RNA from 1 species